rnacentral:tRNA from 1 species
GCCCGCACGGUGAUGCAGUGAGUAGCACUGUUGCCUCACAGCAAGAAGGUCCUGGGUUCGAAUCCCAGCCUGGGCC